rnacentral:rRNA from 1 species
AUUGAACGCUGGCGGCAGGCCUAACACAUGCAAGUCGAACGAGUGGCGGACGGGUGAGUAAUGUAUGGGAAACUGCCUGAUGGAGGGGGAUAACUACUGGACACGGUAGCUAAUACCGCCUACAUUACGAUGUGCCCAGAUGGGAUUAGCUUGUUGGUGGGGUAACGGCCUACCAAGACGACGAUCCCUAGCUGGUCUGAGAGGAUGACCAGCCACACUGGAACUGAGACACGGUCCAGACUCCUACGGGAGGCAGCAGUGGGGAAUAUUGCACAAUGGGCGCAAGCCUGAUGCAGCCAUGCCGCGUGUAUGAAGAAGGCCUUCGGGUUGUAAAGUACUUUCAGCGGGGAGGCGUUACCCGCAGAAGAAGCACCGGCUAACUCCGUGCCAGCAGCCGCGGUAAUUC